GUAGGUGGCAAGCGUUGUCCGGAAUUAUUGGGCGUAAAGCGCGCGCAGGCGGUUCUUUAAGUCUGAUGUGAAAGCCCACGGCUCAACCGUGGAGGGUCAUUGGAAACUGGAGAACUUGAGUACAGAAGAGGAAAGCGGAAUUCCACGUGUACCGGUGAAAUGCGUAGAGAUGUGGAGGAACACCAGUGGCGAAGGCGGCUUUCUGGUCUGUAACUGACGCUGAGGCGCGAAAGCGUGGGGAGCAAACAGGGAUUAGAUACCCUGGUGGUCCACGCCGUAAACGAUGAGUGCUAAGUGUUAGGGGGUUUCCGCCCCCUUAGUGCUGCAGCUAACGCAUUAAGCACUCCGCCUGGGGAGUACGGCCGCAAGGCUG
rnacentral:rRNA from 1 species